rnacentral:rRNA from 1 species
AGAGUUUGAUCCUGGCUCAGGAUGAACGCUAGCUACAGGCUUAACACAUGCAAGUCGAGGGGAACGACAUCGAAAGCUUGCUUUUCGAUGGGUGUCGACCGGCGCACGGGUGAGUAACGCGUAUCCAACCUGCCCACCACUUGGGGAUAACCUCGCGAAAGUAAGACUAAUACCCAAUGAUAUCUCUAGAAGACAUCUGAAAGAGAUUAAAGAUUUAUCGGUGAUGGAUGGGGAUGCGUCUGAUUAGCUUGUUGGCGGGGUAACGGCCCACCAAGGCAACGAUCAGUAGGGGUUCUGAGAGGAAGGUCCCCCACAUUGGAACUGAGACACGGUCCAAACUCCUACGGGAGGCAGCA